CGACGACUCGGGCGACUGGCCCGGGCCGCUCUGGUCGGCCCUGGCCGGGGCCGGCGUCCCCCGGUGGCCGGUCCCCCCGGCCUUCGGCGGC
rnacentral:tRNA from 1 species